UACAGAGGGGGCGAGCGUUGUUUCGGAAUUACUGGGCGUAAAGGGCGCGUAGGCGGCCAACUAAGUCAGACGUGAAAUCCCUCGGCUCAACCGGGGAACUGCGUCUGAUACUGGAUGGCUUGAAUUCGGGAGAGGGAUGCGGAAUUCCAGGUGUAGCGGUGAAAUGCGUAGAUAUCUGGAGGAACACCGGUGGCGAAGGCGGCAUCCUGGACCGAGAUUGACGCUGAGUGCGCGAAAAGC
rnacentral:rRNA from 1 species